rnacentral:rRNA from 1 species
AUUGAACGCUGGCGGCAUGCUUUACACAUGCAAGUCGAACGAUGAUCCCCAGCUUGCUGGGGGGAUUAGUGGCGAACGGGCGAGUAACACGUGAGUAACCUGCCCCCGACUCUGGGAUAAGCCCGGGAAACUGGGUCUAAUACCGGAUAUUCACCGUCCCUCGCAUGUGGUGGUGGGGAAAGGUUUUUCUGGUGGGGGAUGUGCUCGCGGCCUAUCAGCUUGUUGGUGGGGUAAUGGCCUACCAAGGCUUUGACGGGUAGCCGGCCUGAGAGAGUGACCGGCCACACUGGGACUGAGACACGGCCCAGACUCCUACGGGAGGCAGCAGUGGGGAAUAUUGGACAAUGGGCGGAAGCCUGAUCCAGCAACGCCGCGUGAGGGAUGACGGCCUUCGGGUUGUAAACCUCUUUCACCAUUGACGAAGCUGCAUCUUUUUGGGUGUGGUGGCGGUAGGUGGGGAAGAAGCACCGGCCAACUACGUGCCAGCCGCCGCAGUAACAC